UGGCGGACGGGUGAGUAACAUGUGAGAAUCUGCCCUUUAGUGGGGAAUAAUCUCGGGAAACUGGGAAUAAUACCGCAUAAGUCUCUUCGGAGAGAAAGGUGGCAUUUGCUGCCGCUAUUGGAUGAGCUCGCAUACUAUUAGUAUGUUGGUGGGGUAAAGGCCUACCAAGACGAUGAUGGUUAGCCGACCUGAGAGGGUGAUCGGCCACACUGGAACUUAGACACGGUCCAGACUCCUACGGGAGGCAGCAGUGAGGAAUAUUGCGCAAUGGGCGAAAGCCUGACGCAGCGACGUCGCGUGGGGGAUGAAGGUUUUCGGAUUGUAAACCCCUGUUAAGUGGGAAGAAAGACUUGUUUAAUAAACAAGGGAUGACGGUACCAUUAGAGAAAGCACCGGCUAACUUCGUGCCAGCAGCCGCGGUAAU
rnacentral:rRNA from 1 species